GGAGGAAAAGAAACCAACAGGGAUUGCCUCAGUAGCGGCGAGUGAAGCGGCAAGAGCUCAGAUUUGAAAUCGUGCUUUGCGGCACGAGUUGUAGAUUGCAGGUUGGAGUCUGUGUGGAAGGCGGUGUCCAAGUCCCUUGGAACAGGGCGCCCAGGAGGGUGAGAGCCCCGUGGGAUGCCGGCGGAAGCAGUGAGGCCCUUCUGACGAGUCGAGUUGUUUGGGAAUGCAGCUCCAAGCGGGUGGUAAAUUCCAUCUAAGGCUAAAUACUGGCGAGAGACCGAUAGCGAACAAGUACUGUGAAGGAAAGAUGAAAAGCACUUUGAAAAGAGAGUGAAACAGCACGUGAAAUUGUUGAAAGGGAAGGGUAUUGCGCCCGACAUGGGGAUUGCGCACCGCUGCCUCUCGUGGGCGGCGCUCUGGGCUUUCCCUGGGCCAGCAUCGGUUCUUGCUGCAGGAGAAGGGGUUCUGGAACGUGGCUCUUCGGAGUGUUAUAGCCAGGGCCAGAUGCUGCGUGCGGGGACCGAGGACUGCGGCCGUGUA
rnacentral:rRNA from 1 species